AUACGGAGGGGGUUAGCGUUGUUCGGAAUUACUGGGCGUAAAGCGCACGUAGGCGGACUGGAAAGUUGGGGGUGAAAUCCCGGGGCUCAACCCCGGAACUGCCUCCAAAACUUCCAAUCUAGAGAUCGAGAGAGGUGAGUGGAAUUCCAAGUGUAGAGGUGAAAUUCGUAGAUAUUUGGAGGAACACCAGUGGCGAAGGCGGCACACUGGCUCGAUACUGACGCUGAGGUGCGAAAGCGUGGGGAGCAAACAGAAUUAGAAACCCCUGUAGUCC
rnacentral:rRNA from 1 species